rnacentral:misc_RNA from 1 species
CCAACACACAAAACGACCUGCGCUUCUUCUUUUGUUCCCCCCCCUUCCACUAACCCGAAUGCCGCGCAUGCGCACACUCACACCCGCCGCAAAUACUUCUGUAAUUUGCCUCAGAUAGCCGCGCAGUACUCAACGACGGGAGAUUUGACGCAGACCCUUCACCUCCCCCUAGCAGCCGGCACUCAUUUUUCUCACCACGGUGUACCUUUCCCUCGCUUUCGUGUCGAGGGCAUCUUUGCUGCUACAGUGGUGGCGCUCUUUCUUAUCUUCCUCUACAGAGCGCGCCAGCGCAGAGGAAACGGCGAGGUCCACAGGCCCUCUUAUCAGAGGGGGGUUUUACGGAAGCACGUUCGCAUUCCCUUCCUUGCAGGAGGGAGGCAGCAACGCACUGAGGGCCGCGUGCUCACGCACAGAGUCGCACACGCGUGCACGAGCACUCUUGAUCCCCUCCAUCCGCUAAAGAGGUUGGGUCUGGGGUCCUUUUCUCGUCGUUGCUUUGUUUUGCGCUAGCUCUUUUUGAACAUCACAUCCGCUUGCAUCGAGAUGGUGUUCUUCAUCGCGGCUUCGGCUGCCAUCUUCGUGCUCGCCGCCGGCGCGGUGCUGUUGUACGGCGCAGCGAGCAUCCUUGCGGGCGGCUUCCUCCGCUUAGCGCUUGGCGCGUUGCUGCUGGGUAUGUCGCUCUCCGUCGUUUUCUCCGCCACAGCCAAUCUACUGCUGGUCACUUUUUCGCGCUACGAUCUGGAGCCUAGGCCGCCGAUUAUUUUUCUGCGCAGCUUCCUUGCAGCCAUGGGGCAGCCCACCCUAACAGGAGUUAUUGGCUUGUCGCUGGUGGCGCUGAUUUCGCUGGCUGCCUCGAAGGUGCGAGUGAUGGUGGAAGAGAUGGACAUUCUGAUUCGCUCCCACGCCGCGUACGCAGCGCGUAGCGAUCGUACGGCUGCACCGUAAAUGGUAGUGGGAGAGGCAAAGUAGUCACUGAUGCCGUGGCGUCCCUGUCGGAGGGGUCAACGUGUUAAGGAUCACCAUGUGAGGUGUUAGCGGAGGAGGUACCAGCAAAGGAGCAUGUGUUCCUGUGCGGUUCUCCGGUGGCAUGAGGGAGGAGGAGAGGCUUUGUGCGGAUGAUGUCGGAACGUUUGCGCACUCCGCUUCACGUUAGGGUGCGCCGGUCAUCCUGUGCGGUGACGCUCUGAACCCGGCCAUUUUGACAGCUCCGCAGAACUGCUGAGGGUGAUGCCGCCCUAGAGAAAGACUGGGUUAGCAUAAGGCGUAUACACGCAAACCAAACG